rnacentral:rRNA from 1 species
UACGUAGGGUGCAAGCGUUGUCCGGAAUUAUUGGGCGUAAGAGCUCGUAGGCGGUUUGUCGCGUCGAAUGUGAAAACCCGGGGCUCAACCCCGGGCCUGCAUUCGAUACGGGCAGACUAGAGUUCGGUAGGGGAGUCUGGAAUUCCUGGUGUAGCGGUGAAAUGCGCAGAUAUCAGGAGGAACACCGGUGGCGAAGGCGGGACUCUGGGCCGAUACUGACGCUGAGGAGCGAAAGCGUGGGGAGCGAACAGG